rnacentral:lncRNA from 1 species
GAUUUACAACAUACUGGUUGGACCUACUAGUCACUAAUCCUUCUCAUAACUUGGUGAAGUUAGUAGGAGGAUUAUGACUUGUAGGUCGAUUGAUGUCCUCUAAGAUAAAUUAACUAAAUUCUCUAAAUUAUUAGGUCCAUAAAAUGAGCUAGUUAUGGAGAUAAUUAGAUCAUAGCCUCCCAUUAAGGUGCAUGAUAAUAAGUCCAAUAUCUCUAAUAGACAUUGGAGACAUGUUGCUCCUAGAUUGAUUUUGAUGACUACAAAACAGUU